rnacentral:misc_RNA from 1 species
GAUGAAGAACGUAGCGAAAUGCGAUACUUGGUGUGAAUUGCAGAAUCCCGUGAACCAUCGAGUCUUUGAACGCAAGUUGCGCCCGAAGCCACUAGGCCGAAGGCACGCCUGCCUGGGCGUCACACGCCGUUGCCCCCCCAUCUACUCCUUCGGGAUUGCGGGGGGGCGGAUGAUGGCCUCCUGUGCGCCUAGCCGCGCGGUUGGCAUAAAUACCAAGUCCUCGGCGACGCACGCCACGACAAUCGGUGGUUGCGAAACCUCGGUUGCCCGUCGUGUGCGUUCGUCGCGCAUCGAGGGCUCGAAAAAAUGCUCGGCUCCGGCUGGGCUUUCAACGCGACCCCAGGUCAGGCGGGGUUACCCGCUGAAUUUAAGCAUAUCAAUAAGCGGAGGA